rnacentral:lncRNA from 1 species
UCAUGUACGCAUAAAUUAUGUUUUUAUUUUGAAAACAUAGCCGUUCCUUGGCAUUGGCUGAGUUCACCCUCACGUGGUGGUUCAGAGUGAAGUGAACUCUAAAGUUUUACCUCAGGAGUUACCCUACGCGCCUCUCUGGCCAAGGUAAGAAUAUACUCGGAUUUCGUGCCUCUCUAAUAGGCUGGUCCACAGAACCCGCCACUGCAGUGACCAAUCUAUAACCCACCAAUUCAAUAAAAAUUCAACAGCAUGACAUGGUAAUUUUAUCAUUAUCC